UACGUAGGGUGCGAGCGUUAAUCGGCAUUACUGGGCGUAAAGCGUGCGCAGGCGGUUUUGUAAGCCAGAGGUGAAAUCCCCGGGCUCAACCUGGGAAUGGCAUUUGGGACUGCAAGGCUGGAGUGCGGCAGAGGAGACUGGAAUUCCUGGUGUAGCAGUGAAAUGCGUAGAUAUCAGGAGGAAUACCGAUGGCGAAGGCAGGUCUCUGGGCUGACACUGACGCUCAUGCACGAAAGCGUGGGGAGCAAACAGG
rnacentral:rRNA from 1 species